rnacentral:rRNA from 1 species
UUGGAGGGCAAGUCUGGUGCCAGCAGCCGCGGUAAUUCCAGCUCCAAUAGCGUAUAUUAAAGUUGUUGCAGUUAAAAAGCUCGUAGUUGAAUUCCGGGAUCAGUUGGUCGGUCGUGCCUCGGUACGUACCGGUCAAAUUGAUUCCUACCUUCUGACGAACCACGAUGUCAUUAAUUUGGUGUCGCGGGAAAUCAGGACUGUUACUUUGAAAAAAUUAGAGUGUUUAAAGCAGGCUCGCGCUUGAAUACAUUAGCAUGGAAUAAUGAAAUAGGACGUUUGAUUCUAUUUUGUUGGUUUCUAGGAUCGACGUAAUGAUUAAUAGGGAUAGUUGGGGGCAUUAGUAUUCGAUUGUCAGAGGUGAAAUUCUUGGAUUUAUUGAAGACUAACUACUGCGAAAGCAUUUGCCAAGGAUGUUUUCAUUAAUCAAGAACGAAAGUUAGGGGAUCGAAGACGAUCAGAUACCGUCGUAGUCUUAGCCAUAAACUAUGCUGACUAGGGAUCGGAUGAUGUUAAUUUUUUAAUGACUCAUUCGGCGCCUUACGGGAAACCAAAGUGUUUGGGUUC